GAUGAACGCUGGCGGCGUGCCUAAUACAUGCAAGUCGAGCGAACAGACGAGGAGCUUGCUCCUCUGACGUUAGCGGCGGACGGGUGAGUAACACGUGGAUAACCUACCUAUAAGACUGGGAUAACUUCGGGAAACCGGAGCUAAUACCGGAUAAUAUAUUGAACCGCAUGGUUCAAUAGUGAAAGACGGUUUUGCUGUCACUUAUAGAUGGAUCCGCGCCGCAUUAGCUAGUUGGUAAGGUAACGGCUUACCAAGGCAACGAUGCGUAGCCGACCUGAGAGGGUGAUCGGCCACACGGGAACUGAGCCAGGGUCCAGACUCCUACGGGAGGCAGCAGUAGGGAAUCUGCCGCAAAGGGCGAAAGCCUGACGGAGCAACGCGGCGUGAGUGAUGAAGGUCUUCGGAUCGUAAAACUCUGUUAUUAGGGAAGAACAAAUGUGUAAGUAACUAUGCACGUCUUGACGGUACCUAAUCAGAAAGCCACGGCUAACUACGUG
rnacentral:rRNA from 1 species